AUUGAACGCUGGCGGCAUGCCUUACACAUGCAAGUCGAACGGUAACGCGGGGCAACCUGGCGACGAGUGGCGAACGGGUGAGUAAUAUAUCGGAACGUGCCCAGUAGUGGGGGAUAGCCCGGCGAAAGCCGGAUUAAUACCGCAUGAGACCUGAGGGUGAAAGCGGGGGAUCGCAAGACCUCGCGCGAAUGGAGCGGCCGAUGUCAGAUUAGGUAGUUGGUGGGGUAAAGGCUCACCAAGCCAACGAUCUGUAGCUGGUCUGAGAGGACGACCAGCCACACUGGAACUGAGACACGGUCCAGACUCCUACGGGAGGCAGCAGUGGGGAAUUUUGGACAAUGGGGGCAACCCUGAUCCAGCCAUGCCGCGUGAGUGAAGAAGGCCUUCGGUUGUAAAGCUCUUCGGUCCGGGAACGGAAAUACGCACAGGCGUAAUACCCUGUGUGGAUGACGGUACCGGAAGUAAGAAGCACCGGCUAACUACGUGCCAGCAGCCGCGGUAAUCU
rnacentral:rRNA from 1 species